rnacentral:lncRNA from 1 species
CCUGGAGGCUGAAGUCUGGUUUUCAGCACCAAGUCUCAUCGUUUUUUAGAUACCUGUGGCAGAGUUUUGUAAUGUUAACACUCUGCCUACCUACACCUCUAUACAUUUCCUGUCACAUGCAUUCCUGAUUACAAGCACUGCCUAAAGACCUACUAUUUGUUCUACAGGUGAGCAUGUCCUACUCCGGUGGAUUUUUUUUUUUCAUCUCUGAGCUUGACCUGAGAUUGACCAUCUGACCUGAGCUAUAAUUUUGACAUAAAUUUUGACUAAAAGAUGUAUGCGCAAUUGUUCUUCUAGGACUCAGUUCAGCCCACAGAUGUCUCCACAGCUGCUCUCUAUUCCAAAGGGGAAUUUUUUUCCUUGGAAGCAGUCAUAUUAUGAGCUGACAAUCUGGAUGAUGACAUGACUUACACAAAAUCAUACAGUCAGUCUGAGGGCAGUUCCGCAAGGACAACUGCACAGAGACAGAUUCGCCAGUAGAGGCCUCUCUAGAUUUGCCUUCUGAUUACAAACUCAGAAUGUGCCUUGAAUCUGCUGCAGUUAACACAACUACUUGAAAAGAUUCUUGUUGCAUAGGGAAAAAGAUCACUCUUUAAUGCCCUUUUAAGUUCCAUGAUGUUGAUUAAUGUUGCCCUUUACAUUAAUGAUGUUUCAAGUAAAAGAAAACAAAUUUAAAAUGGAUAAAUUCUAUUGAGGAUGCAUUAAUUAGACAGAGACUUUGCCAUAUGCUGUGGCUGGAGGGCUUGCUGGCCUUUCUCUUGUAGUUACCUGUGUAAAAUCCACCCUAUCCUCUACAUGAAUGCCCAAGCUGAAUAGCCAUUUGAAUGAAGGCUUUAGUUUGAUUCGCCAUACAAGGGGUACUGUGUCACUGUGUUUUCUUUCUAGGAGUCACUAAGUGAUUUCUAUAUCUGUUGUCAUGGUGAUAUAGCAAAGCAGGGGAAAAUGGGGGCAACUUCAGGCUUUCUCCUCACCCUCUGGACUAAGAUGUUGUUAGCAAGCCUAUAAAACAUUGGGCUUUAUCUGGGCCUUCUUUUUGUUCUCUGAUUGUCAAUAAAACUCAUUUUAAGGGUAACAAGGACAUCUAAAUGUCAUCUGUCACAGUGUUAGAGAGAUUAAGUUUGUUUAGGGACUUGUGCUGGACAAAGGCCACUAUUUGUUUCGCAGAUACAAAGCAGUGUUGGCUAUCACCACUCUUGAUUUAGAAGGAGGCCCAG